ensembl:misc_RNA 7SK 7SK RNA
CGACGUGAGAGAUAUCUGGCUGCGACAUCUGUCACCCCAUUGACUGCCCGGGUUGAUUUGGCUGAUCUGGCUUACUACGCAAGUGUACCCUUCCUCCCUCACUGCUCCAUGUACGUGCCUCCUGAAGGUGCACAUUUGGUUGAAAGUGAGAGGUGACAAUGUGCUAGCAGCCGUCGCUCUCAGCACCUCCUCGGCCUCGUCAUCCACUCUGGCAGCACUUGAGGAGCCCUUGAGCCCGCUACU